rnacentral:rRNA from 1 species
UACGAAGGGGGCUAGCGUUGCUCGGAAUCACUGGGCGUAAAGCGCACGUAGGCGGCUUUCUAAGUCAGGGGUGAAAUCCUGGAGCUCAACUCCAGAACUGCCUUUGAUACUGAGGAUCUUGAGUUCGGGAGAGGUGAGUGGAACUGCGAGUGUAGAGGUGAAAUUCGUAGAUAUUCGCAAGAACACCAGUGGCGAAGGCGGCUCACUGGCUCGGUACUGACGCUGAGGUGCGAAAGCGUGGGGAGCAAACAGG